ensembl:lncRNA
ACACUUUACUGUGUAAAGGCAUCUGAUUAGCUCAGCUGAUCUGUGUCUAGUUCACCAGCUGCUGCAUAACCUCAAUUGAGUACUGGAAGACACAGCUACAUCACUCACCUGCUUUCUCAUGAGCAGGGCAAGUCCCAUCACCCUGAAAUCGCACUCCUGCACCCCUUUACAGGCAAGCGCACUUGUCUGACUCUGCAAGCAGCCUUCCUACGCUAGCAGAAAGGGCAAUAUUUACCUGCCUGUGAGGGGGACUAGUUCUUUCGCUGAAGCAGAAAAACAGUGCUGCUCCAGUUCACUGUGGGAAGAGAGGAUGACAAGACCAACCAGAUGGAAGUGGCAGAGAGCUGUGAAAGGGGUGAAGAAUGUAUGGAUUACCUCUUAGGUACAGCAAGUUAUGAGCUCAACUCAUGAUGUCAGCCCACGGCCUUGCUCAACUUGGUAUGGCCUCUUCUUCUGUUCCCCUUCGGACUUCUGCUUAGCAUCACUUGGAAAAUGUGCUCCUGUGGGUGGGACCUGAAGAAAGAUCUUUUCUCCCAGUUCCCCAAGCAAUCUACUUGGCUUACAGCUUCAUUUUUCACAUCUUGACUGAUCUAAAGAUGAGGCCAAAAAUUUUUAUUUGCUUCUGCUUUAUACGAACACAUGCACAUAGAAAUCCAUUACUGAGGUUAUGGGGACAGAGCAACUCAGAUGCUGACACGAUUUUUACUUAUAUGCACAUUUUGUGUGUAAGAUAGAAACUAAAUAUGCUAUUCUUCAGAGAGGCAGAGCAAAGUAAUUCCCAUAACUUUUGAAAGACAUUCCUACAAUAUAUUGUAGUAUUUUCUGAAAGUGUAUUUUAUGUUCACAAAGAGUUAUAAUCUUAGAACACAGAAUAUCCCAUGUUGGAAAGGACCCAUAAGGAUUGUCAAGUCCAACUCCUUACUCCACACAGGACCACCCAAAAAACAGGCCAUAUGACUGAGAGCGUUGUCCAAACACUCCUUGUGCUUGGGGCCAUACUCAUCGCAUUCUAGUGCAGAACUUUUCCCUAACCCCCAGCUGCACCUCCCUUGAUGGAGCCAUAGGCCAUUCCUGCCUGCCCUGUUGCUGUCACCAGAGCAGAGCUCAGUGCUGCCACUCCGCUCCCUGUGAGGAGCUGCAGUGACUAUGAAGCUUCCCCUCAGCUCCUCUGCUCUGGGCUGAAGAAACCAUGAAGAAUCACACUGGGCCCCAUCGAUUUACAGGCAUCCAGGUGGAGCAGCAAAUCCCGUGCAAGUUCAGGGUUAGCUGGGAAUUCAUUUUCAUCACAUUGUUCAGAUCCCUCCUCCUCUAAGUCAAAGCCUUGGUUCAUUUUUCCUAGUAGAAUGUGUUACAAGGAUGAAAGCAUAACCUUUGAAGGCUGAAGAAAAAUUCAGAUGGCUUUUGUUCUACGUGCCAAAUAAUGUGAGAAAAAAAUGGGGAAAAAAUGGAACACUUCAGUAUUUAGAAUGGAAACGGGAUUUAAAAUAUAUUUCCAUAUAUUAUUUAUUUUUUAGAACAAAACAAGGAACAGAAUCUCACUACUAAUUCUGUCAAUGAAUUAGUUUACAUCUAAUAAAAUUGCUACGUUAAACUGUGAAAGUCUGAUAGUGACUUCUGUAUGGCAAUUAAUUUUGCUAAAGAACAUUCUCAAGCGCGAGGAAGUCUAAUGCUUGUUUAAUCAAACACUGAAAUUAUUCUUUUUGACUGAAAAAGCCUGAUUUUUCUUUGCAGUUCCAACAAGUAUAGGAUGGCCAAGUGACUUCAAUUUUGUUAGGUCUUUGGAAUUUCUCUUUGGCCUUUCUGAUAAAGGGGAAACCUGACUUUUUUGCCUGUAGUUCUGUGUUCAUAAAAAGGCACAUCUUCUCUUAACUCUGAGGCUGCAGCAUAGUGGUGAAAACUAAAUAUUUUUUCACCAUUACAUGUAGGACU